rnacentral:rRNA from 1 species
AUUGAACGCUGGCGGCAGGCCUAACACAUGCAAGUCGAGCGGAUGAAGGGAGCUUGCUCCUGGAUUCAGCGGCGGACGGGUGAGUAAUGCCUAGGAAUCUGCCUGGUAGUGGGGGAUAACGUCCGGAAACGGGCGCUAAUACCCCAUACGUCCUGAGGGAGAAAGUGGGGGAUCUUCGGACCUCACGCUAUCAGAUGAGCCUAGGUCGGAUUAGCUAGUUGGUGGGGUAAGGGCCUACCAAGGCGACGAUCCGUAACUGGUCUGAGAGGAUGAUCAGUCACACUGGAACGGAGACACGGUCCAGACUACUACGGGAGGCAGCAGUGGGGAAUAUUGGACAAUGGGCGAAAGCCUGAUCCAGCCAUGCCGCGUGUGUGAAGAAGGUCUUCGGAUUGUAAAGCACUUUAAGUUGGGAGGAAGGGCAGUAAGUUAAUACCUUGCUGUUUUGACGGUACCAACAGAAUAAGCACCGGCUAACUUCGUG